GGAUCUGAAGAAAUCUUGCAAGCUGAAGCCUGACAGUUUGGUGCAAACCUCCGAGGGCUCACCACUUCAGUAGAACAUGCAUGGUUCAGGUGGUUUUACAGGAACAACACUAACAAAGUCCUCUGGAGACCCUUUCUUGGAUCCCGCUCCACCUUCUCAGGAGGUUUAUGAUCACCUCGGAGUUGUUCAGCAAUGAGACACUUGCCUUGAACAAAAAGGAGGCUAACUACAGAGGACCACCCUGCCCUUGCAUAUUCCAAGACAGACUCAUCUCCAUCCUUGCGCGUGACUCCCGUAGGACUCGCAGAUGGCUCCGUUAGUGACCUGCUUGCAUAAAACCCUCGGUCCCCUUCCUUUUCUUUGAGGAAGUUCUCAUUAACGAUCAUUCUCCUUAUAAUAGCCUGAAUAAAAUCAUAUAUUUAA
rnacentral:lncRNA from 10 species